rnacentral:lncRNA from 1 species
AAAUAAGUAAAAUGUAUAGACCAGUGUAAGUGCUUAGAGAAAAAAAAAAGAAAAAUCAAGUUGAAAAGGUGUGUGGUGUGUCAGGGUGGGGAUGGGGAUACAAUCUGAGAUAGGGUGACCAGAGAUGGUCUCACUGAAAAUGUGAUAUUUGAGUCCCUGGAAGACAGUGAAAAGAAAGCUAUGAGGACAUCUGGCGAAAGAAACAGAAGCAAAAACAGAAGUAAAAAACAGAGCUUCCGAAAAGAAGUUAUCUCUAAGCUGAAAGUUAAA